rnacentral:misc_RNA from 1 species
GAAAUGUGAUAAUUAAUGUGAAUUGCAGAAUUCAGUGAAUCAUCGAGUCUUUGAACGCACAUUGCGCCCCCUGGUAUUCCGGGGGGCAUGCCUGUCCGAGCGUCAUUGCUGCCCUCAAGCACGGCUUGUGUGUUGGGCUUCCGUCCCUGGCAACGGGGACGGGCCCAAAAGGCAGUGGCGGCACCAUGUCUGGUCCUCGAGCGUAUGGGGCUUUGUCACCCGCUGCCGUAGGUCCAGCUGGCAGCUAGCCUCGCAACCAAUCUUUUUAACCAGGUUGACCUCGGAUCAGGUAGGGAUACCCGCUGAACUUAAGC